rnacentral:rRNA from 1 species
GUUGGUGGUUAUGGCGAAGUGGGUACACCUCUUCCCAUUCCGAACAGAGAAGUUAAGCACUUCAGCGCCGAUGGUACUUGGACCGCGAGGUCCCGGGAGAGUAGGACGCCGCCAACA